rnacentral:rRNA from 1 species
GAUGAACGCUGGCGGCAUGCUUUACACACGCAAGUCGAACGGUAACUGGUUAAGCUGACGAGUGGCGAACGGGUGAGUAAUGCAUCGGAACGUGCCCGGUCGUGGGGGAUAACACUUCGAAAGAAGUGCUAAUACCGCAUACGAUCUGAGGAUGAAAGCGGGGGACCGUAAGGCCUCGCGCGAUCGGAGCGGCCGAUGUCAGAUUAGGUAGUUGGUGGGGUAAAGGCUCACCAAGCCGACGAUCUGUAGCUGGUCUGAGAGGACGACCAGCCACACUGGGACUGAGACACGGCCCAGACUCCUACGGGAGGCGGCAGUGGGGAAUUUUGGACAAUGGGCGCAAGCCUGAUCCAGCAAUGCCGCGUGCAGGAAGAAGGCCUUCGGGUUGUAAACUGCUUUUGUACGGAGCGAAAAGGCUCUCUCUAAUACAGGGGGCUCAUGACGGUACCGUAAGAAUAAGCACCGGCUAACUACGUGCCAGCCGCCGCAGUAA